rnacentral:lncRNA from 1 species
GUUAGGGGCUUAAAAAAAAAUUACGCGCCUUUUCACAGUCGCAAAGGAAAUAGGAACAACGUGAAUAUGUAUCCAUUUAUCUUAAGUAUUUAUAAUAAAAUGAGAAUCACUCACUAUUAGGGUACACUUUUUAAAUGAUUAUAUCAACAUAAUACUACAUAAUUAACAUUGUCUGUUGUUCUCCCUGCAGAUCCUGUCAAACUCAUCACCUGUCCUAUAGCUACACCUGAUUUUUAAAACCCAACGGCACUUUUAAGAGCCAACCUCUAUCUCUUUAUUUUCUAUAUCUUACAUCCUCUCUGUUCUCAAUAUCUAUAGUUCUGUCCAUCUCUUCAAUCUUUAUCUAUCUCACAUCUAUUGCUCUUUCUUUUCUCCCUGUCAUCCUGUCAAACUCAUCACCUGUACCUAUAGCUACACCUGAUUUUUAAAACCCAACGGCACUUUUAAGAGCCAACCUCUAUCUCUUUAUUUCUAUAUCUUACAUCCUCUCUGUUCUCAAUAUCUAUAGUUCUGUCCAUCUCUUCAAUCUUUAUCUAUCUCACAUCUAUUGCUCUUCUUUUCUCCCUGUCUGUCUUUGUCUACCUGUCUUACCCAUCUUUGUCAGUCUGUCUGUCUGUCUGUCUGUAUCAGUUUGUUAUAAUGCCAGGGGGGUCUAUAAAAAAGAUCUGCCCCUUUUGUCAGGGGAUUUUAUAUUGUGCACAAUAGGUCUGCUCACAUUGCAAAAAGAAAAAACCUCUGAAGCAGCGCCUCAAGAAGAAGAUUCAGAGCUUUGAUGAGAAGCGAGAGGAAUGGGUGGUUGGUCGUAAGAAAAACCACAACUCUGCAUCCAUCAAGGGAUGAAGCCAAUGUCAUGCUUGAGAAACUCCAUGCCAUUGGCUACAAGCCAGUUCUGCUACUAGGAAAGGCGAACAAAAAAAAGGAAAUUAAGUGUGAAAUAUUAACGCCUCACUGCACACUCUCCACCUUUGCCCAGGACUACCUACAGAAGAUAGGUUCAUUUUAUGAAUACCUUUGUGAAGGAUGGACCCAGGAUUCCAGUGGCAAUGAGGAUCAGCUGAUAUCUCUGCAGCUCACACCCUGCGAGACGAGCCCCACGGAGGGGCAGGUGGAGCAGGCUGAACCCACGGAGUGGCAGGUGGACCCAUGGGUUACCUUAACUUUACUUGACUUCCAGUCUUUUUCCCCCAUAGAGCUUGAUGCAGGUUAG